UGUUCAUGCAUUCGUGAUGUGUUGAUUUUCAGGGAAUUCUAAGCUUAUAGUGAGCUUAGUGAGAUCCUAAGGAAGCUCGGAGUACUUAGUUUGAAGGUUUUGGACGUCGGGAUAGUUGAGUUCGAAGUUGGCCAGUUUUCUUGGAAUUUCUCCGGUGAGAUUUCGUAGUUUUUAGAGCCUUAAAGUAGUGUAACAUGAAUCUACA
rnacentral:lncRNA from 1 species